CAACUUUCAACAACGGAUCUCUAGGCUCUCGCAUCGAUGAAGAACGCAGCGAAAUGCGAUAAGUAAUGUGAAUUGCAGAUUUUCAGUGAAUCAUCGAAUCUUUGAACGCACCUUGCGCUCCUUGGUAUUCCGAGGAGCAUGCCUGUUUGAGUGUCAUUA
rnacentral:rRNA from 1 species